UACAGAGGGUGCGAGCGUUAAUCGGAAUUACUGGGCGUAAAGCGUGCGUAGACGGUUCUGUAAGUCGGAUGUGAAAUCCCCGGGCUCAACCUGGGAAUUGCAUUCGAGACUGCAAAGCUUGGGUGCGGAAGAGGGAAGCGGAAUUUCCGGUGUAGCGGUGAAAUGCGUAGAUAUCGGAAGGAACAUCAGUGGCGAAAGCGGCUUCCUGGUCCAGCACCGACGUCAGGCACGAAAGCGUGGGGAGCAAAC
rnacentral:rRNA from 1 species